UCAGGCCUAACACAUGCAAGUCGAGCGGCAGCGGGAAAGUAGCUUGCUACUUUUGCCGGCGAGCGGCGGACGGGUGAGUAAUGCCUGGGAAAUUGCCCAGUCGAGGGGGAUAACAGUUGGAAACGACUGCUAAUACCGCAUACGCCCUACGGGGGAAAGCAGGGGACCUUCGGGCCUUGCGCGAUUGGAUAUGCCCAGGUGGGAUUAGCUAGUUGGUGAGGUAAUGGCUCACCAAGGCGACGAUCCCUAGCUGGUCUGAGAGGAUGAUCAGCCACACUGGAACUGAGACACGGUCCAGACUCCUACGGGAGGCAGCAGUGGGGAAUAUAGCACAAUGGGGGAAACCCUGAUGCAGCCAAGCCGCGUGUGUGAAGAAGGCCUUCGGGUUUAAAGCAAUUGAGCGAGGAGGAAAGGUUGAUGCCUAAUAC
rnacentral:rRNA from 1 species